ACUGGAGAAGCAGGAUCAACACCACUUUCACUUUGUACCUGUUAGAAAAUAGAUGGGAGAAUACGCACAGUCCACAGCUCCGAUGCAGCAAUCAGACUCCAACGGACGACGUUGAAGAGUAUGCUCACCCAGCAUGUACUUGUUGGCGUCGAAUCAAACGCCACUCUCCGUCCUCAGCUGUUGUUGGCACAUCCAUUGUGAUACCUCACUUCGUUAUCGUUUGGCUUAUUCAUGUUAAUUGUGGUUAGGCUUUGUGGCAGAUGCUAGGCUAUUUGUGUCCUUUUUUUGCUUGUGUAAUUCUGUUUUUCUCUGCAUCCUUUGACGUUUGAUUCUUGACUUGUAUUGGUCGUUAGGCUAGUUGCUCGAUUCAAUCCAUGUUGCGGAUGUUCAGCUCUAUAGCACGAUUGGAAUUUAAAGGCAAUGUUCCUGCGUUCACUGCGUAUGUCCGCUCAAUCGGAAAUGACCUUUAAAUUUCAAUCAAGCUAUAGUGCUCAACUUCUGUAAUACGGAUUGAAUCGAGCCCUAGAUUUACAUAGCAACGGGUAAGAGAAAAAUGCAAGUGCCUUACAAUGCCACAUUGCUGAAAAGUCUUGGCUGUUGUGCUUUGUGAAACCAAAUACCUUUUACCUCUUAUCGUCCUUCCAUUUAGCCAUUCGUAACCAUGACGCUGCCUUUGAAUUGCACUAACAUGUGGCUUAUGUUUGAAAAGGGUGUAUUUUACAAAUAAGAUUUGCCUUUUGAAAUAAAUGUUUUAUUCCAGUGCCGUCAAAUGGCUGGCCUUUUCAUUUGGCUGCUUGUUCACAGCUCUAGAGGGCAGUUCUAUUUCAGUGAUGUCAACUGGAAUCUCAGCACUGUAGCUCGUGGUCAGAAUAAAUAGUUGCUAUUUACAUGGACAAGCACAUGUCAGAGCCAGGGAAUGGAGAUUCGAAGAAAAAUGGAAACUCUUUAGGUUAACAGCCAAGCCACUGUGAAUAAAAUGGGUCUACAGUUACUGGCUAGCUCCUGGCUGUGGGCUUUGCUCCAACCUAGCUGGAACUAUCUUUUUUGAAUGAAAUCUUUGUACUUAAAUAUACGACAAUUGUAAUACAAAGCUUUUUCUUUGUGAAUCAUAUAUAUAUAUAUAUAUAUAUAUAUAUUUAUAUACGCACAGUGCCUUCAGAAAGUAUUCAGAACCCUUUACUUUUUCCACCUCAAUGUACACACAAUACCCCAUAAUGACAAAGCAAAAAUAUUUUUUUGCUAAUUUAUUUAAAAAAAAAAAA
rnacentral:lncRNA from 8 species